GGAUGAACGCUGGCGGCAUGCCUAAGACAUGCAAGUCGUACGCGAGGGCCCAAUGACGAUGAAGGAAGUGGAAAGUGCUUGCACUUGAAGCGGAAUUCAUUUGAUUUGGAUUUUCCCUCGAGUGGCAAACGGGUGAGUAACACGUGGGUUACCUGCCUCUAUGUUGGGGAUAACAGUUGGAAACGAUUGCUAAUACCGAAUAAGAUAUAACUGUCGUGGUUAUAUAGAAAGGAGCCUUUAAAGCUUCGCUUAGAGAUGGGCCUGCGGCGUAUUAACUAGUUGGCAGGGUAAUGGCCUACCAAGGUAACGAUGCGUAGCCGGACUGAGAGGUUAGACGGCCACACUGGGACUGAGACACGGCCCAGACUCCUACGGGAGACAGCAGUUAGGAAUAUUCGUCAAUGGGGGAAACCCUGAACGAGCAAUGCCGCGUGAGUGAUGAAGGUCUUAUAGAUUGUAAAACUCUGUUGCAAAGGAAGAAACCUUAUUAUAGGUAAUGAUAAUAAGUUGACGGUACUUUGCCAGAAAGCCCCGGCUAACUACGUGCCAGCAGCCGCGGUAAUACGUAGGGGGCGAGCGUUAUCCGGAAUUAUUGGGCGUAAAGCGUGCGUAGGCGGCAUGGCAAGUUUAAGAUAAAAGCCCGGGGCUCAACUCCGGAUCGUCUUAAAAACUGCCAAGCUUGAGUGUGGUAGAGGCAAACGGAAUUUCUAGUGUAGCGGUGAAAUGCGUAGAUAUUAGAAGGAACACCAGUGGCGAAGGCGGCUUGCUGGGCCAUUACUGACGCUGAGACACGAAAGCGUGGGGAGCAAAUAGGAUUAGAUACCCUAGUAGUCCACGCUGUAAACGAUGAGUACUAAGUGUCGGGUAACCGGUGCUGAAGCUAACGUAUUAAGUACUCCGCCUGAGUAGUACGGUCGCAAGGCUGAAACUUAAAGGAAUUGACGGGCACCCGCACAAGCGGUGGAGCAUGCUGUUUAAUUCGACGCUACGCGAAGAACCUUACCUAGGCUUGACAUCCCUGGCAAAGCUAUAGAGAUAUAGUGGAGGUCAUCCAGGUGACAGGUGGUGCAUGGUUGUCGUCAGCUCGUGUCGUGAGAUGUUCGGUUAAGUCCGAUAACGAGCGCAACCCUUAUCAUUAGUUACUAACAUUAAGUUGAGUUCUCUAGUGAGACUGCCGGUAAUAAACCGGAGGAAGGUGGGGAUGACGUCAAAUCAUCAUGCCCCUUACGUCUAGGGCUACAGGCGUGCUACAAUGGCCGGUACAACGAGUCGCAACACAGUGAUGUGAAGCUAAUCUCUUAAAGCCGGUCCCAGUCCGGAUUGGAGUCUGCAACUCGACUCCAUGAAGUUGGAAUCGCUAGUAAUCGCGAAUCAGAAUGUCGCGGUGAAUACGUUCCCGGGUGUUGUACACACCGCCCGUCACGCCAUGGGAGUCUGUAAUACCUGAAGCCGGUAGCCUAACCCGCAAGGGAGGGGGCCGUCCAGGGUAGGACAGGUGACUGGGGUGAAGUCGUAACAAGGUAUCCCUACGAGAACGUGGGGAUG
rnacentral:rRNA from 1 species